rnacentral:RNase_P_RNA from 1 species
GUUAAUCAUACGGUCGCGGGCCGCUUGCGCGGCGUGAGGAAAGUCCGAGCAUCGCAGGGCAAUGAUGCCUGCUAACGGCAGGAGGAGGCGACUUCAAGGAAAGUGAACAGAAAUAUACCGCAGAGUUUUUCUCUGUAAGGUUGGAAUGGCGAGGUAAGAGCUCACCGUCGCUUUGGUAACAAGGCGAGCCAAUUAAACCCCAUCAGAUGCAAGAUUGGGUCAGGGGCUGCGUUUAAUCGCGGGGCUGCCCGUCCGUCCCUGGCUGUUAAUAUCGCUUUAACUUAUCGGUGACGAUAAGUAUAGAUAGAUGACCGUACACGACAGAACUCGGCUUACAGAUUAA